rnacentral:rRNA from 1 species
AGGUUAAGCUAGAAAGGGCGCACGGUGGAUGCCUUGGCACUAGGAGCCGAUGAAGGACGGGGCAAACGCCGAAACGCUCCGGGGAGCUGUAAGCAAGCGUGGAUCCGGAGAUGUCCGAAUGGGGGAACCCACUGCUCGUAAUGGGGCAGUAUCCAUGCCUGAAUCCAUAGGGCAUGGAGGGCACACCCGGGGAACUGAAACAUCUUAGUACCCGGAGGAGAAGAAAGCAAACGCGAUUCCCCGAGUAGCGGCGAGCGAAACGGGAACAGCCCAAACCAAGAGGCGUGUCCUCUUGGGGUUGUAGGACCGCUCAUGGUGGGAGUGAGAAAGGGACGGGGUAGACGAACCGGUCUGGAACGGCCGGCCAGAGAAGGUGAGAGCCCUGUAGUCGAAACUUCGUUCCCUCCCGAGCGGAUCCUGAGUACGGCGGGACACGAGGAAUCCCGUCGGAAGCAGGGAGGACCAUCUCCCAAGGCUAAAUACUCCCUAGUGACCGAUAGUGAACCAGUACCGUGAGGGAAAGGUGAAAAGCACCCCGGGAGGGGAGUGAAAGAGAACCUGAAACCGUGUGCCUACAAGUAGUCAGAGCCCGUUGAUGGGUGAUGGCGUGCCUUUUGUAGAAUGAACCGGCGAGUGACGAUGGCGUGCGAGGUUAAGCCGAAGAGGCGGAGCCGCAGCGAAAGCGAGUCUGAACAGGGCGAAAAGUACGUCGUCGUCGACCCGAAACCAGGUGAUCUACCCAUGUCCAGGGUGAAGGCCGGGUAACACCGGCUGGAGGCCCGAACCCACGCACGUUGAAAAGUGCGGGGAUGAGGUGUGGGUAGGGGUGAAAUGCCAAUCGAACUUGGAGAUAGCUGGUUCUCCCCGAAAUAGCUUUAGGGCUAGCCUCGGGCUUGAGAGUGUUGGAGGUAGAGCACUGAUUGGGCUAGGGGCCCAAACCGGGUUACCGAACCCAGUCAAACUCCGAAUGCCAACGACUUAUGCCCGGGAGUCAGACGGCGAGUGAUAAGAUCCGUGGUCGAGAGGGGAACAGCCCAGACCGCCAGCUAAGGCCCCCAAGUGCACGUUCAGUGGAAAAGGAUGUGGAGUUGCCAAGACAACCAGGAUGUUGGCUUAGAAGCAGCCACCAUUUAAAAGAGUGCGUAAUAGCUCACUGGUCGAGUGACUCUGCGCCGAAAAUGUACCGGGGCUAAACGUGCCGCCGAAGCUGCGGGAUGACCGUUGGUCAUCGGUAGGGGAGCGUUCUAAGGGCAGAGAAGCCAGACCGGAAGGACUGGUGGAGCGCUUAGAAGUGAGAAUGCCGGUAUGAGUAGCGAAAACAGAGGUGAGAAUCCUCUGCGCCGAAAGCCUAAGGGUUCCUGAGGAAGGUUCGUCCGCUCAGGGUUAGUCGGGACCUAAGCCGAGGCCGAAAGGCGUAGGUGAUGGACAACAGGUUGAGAUUCCUGUACCACCUUCUUCCCGUUUGAGCGAUGGGGGGACGCAGGAGGAUAGGGCGAGCAGGCGGCUGGAAGAGCCUGUCCAAGCCGUGAGGCUGAUCCGCAGGCAAAUCCGCGGAUUGGAAGGCCGAGCGGUGACGGCGACGGAGUCAUCGGAAGUCCCCGAUUUCACACUGCCAAGAAAAGCCUCUAGCGAGGGAAGAGGUGCCCGUACCGCAAACCGACACAGGUAGGCGAGGAGAGAAUCCUAAGGCGCGCGGAGAACUCUCGUUAAGGAACUCGGCAAAACCCCGUAACUUCGGGAGAAGGGGUGCUCUUUGGGGUGAAGAGCCCUGAAGAGCCGCAGUGAAAAGGCCCAAGCGACUGUUUAUCAAAAACACAGGUCUCUGCGAAGCCGAAAGGCGACGUAUAGGGGCUGACACCUGCCCGGUGCUGGAAGGUUAAGGGGAGCGCUUAGCGGAAGCGAAGGUGCGAACCGAAGCCCCAGUAAACGGCGGCCGUAACUAUAACGGUCCUAAGGUAGCGAAAUUCCUUGUCGGGUAAGUUCCGACCCGCACGAAAGGUGUAACGACUUGGGCGCUGUCUCAACGAGAGACCCGGUGAAAUUAUACUACCUGUGAAGAUGCAGGUUACCCGCGACAGGACGGAAAGACCCCGUGGAGCUUUACUGCAGCCUGAUAUGGAAUUUUGGUAUCGCUUGUACAGGAUAGGUGGGAGCCUGGGAAGCCGGAGCGCCAGCUUCGGUGGAGGCGGCGGUGGGAUACCACCCUGGCGGUAUUGAAAUUCUAACCCGCACCCCUUAGCGGGGUGGGAGACAGUGUCAGGCGGGCAGUUUGACUGGGGCGGUCGCCUCCCAAAGGUAACGGAGGCGCCCAAAGGUUCCCUCAGAAUGGUUGGAAAUCAUUCGGAGAGUGCAAAGGCACAAGGGAGCUUGACUGCGAGACGGACAGGUCGAGCAGGGACGAAAGUCGGGCUUAGUGAUCCGGUGGUUCCGCAUGGAAGGGCCAUCGCUCAACGGAUAAAAGCUACCCCGGGGAUAACAGGCUGAUCUCCCCCAAGAGUCCACAUCGACGGGGAGGUUUGGCACCUCGAUGUCGGCUCAUCGCAUCCUGGGGCUGUAGUCGGUCCCAAGGGUUGGGCUGUUCGCCCAUUAAAGCGGUACGCGAGCUGGGUUCAGAACGUCGUGAGACAGUUCGGUCCCUAUCCGUCGCGGGCGGAGGAAAUUUGAGAGGAGCUGUCCUUAGUACGAGAGGACCGGGAUGGACGCACCGCUGGUGUACCAGUUGUCCCGCCAGGGGCAUCGCUGGGUAGCUAUGUGCGGACGGGAUAAGCGCUGAAAGCAUCUAAGCGUGAAGCCCCCCUCGGGAGCUGUAAGCAAGCGUGGAUCCGGAGAUGUCCGAAUGGGGGAACCCACUGCUCGUAAUGGGGCAGUAUCCAUGCCUGAAUCCAUAGGGCAUGGAGGGCACACCCGGGGAACUGAAACAUCUUAGUACCCGGAGGAGAAGAAAGCAAACGCGAUUCCCCGAGUAGCGGCGAGCGAAACGGGAACAGCCCAAACCAAGAGGCGUGUCCUCUUGGGGUUGUAGGACCGCUCAUGGUGGGAGUGAGAAAGGGACGGGGUAGACGAACCGGUCUGGAACGGCCGGCCAGAGAAGGUGAGAGCCCUGUAGUCGAAACUUCGUUCCCUCCCGAGCGGAUCCUGAGUACGGCGGGACACGAGGAAUCCCGUCGGAAGCAGGGAGGACCAUCUCCCAAGGCUAAAUACUCCCUAGUGACCGAUAGUGAACCAGUACCGUGAGGGAAAGGUGAAAAGCACCCCGGGAGGGGAGUGAAAGAGAACCUGAAACCGUGUGCCUACAAGUAGUCAGAGCCCGUUGAUGGGUGAUGGCGUGCCUUUUGUAGAAUGAACCGGCGAGUGACGAUGGCGUGCGAGGUUAAGCCGAAGAGGCGGAGCCGCAGCGAAAGCGAGUCUGAACAGGGCGAAAAGUACGUCGUCGUCGACCCGAAACCAGGUGAUCUACCCAUGUCCAGGGUGAAGGCCGGGUAACACCGGCUGGAGGCCCGAACCCACGCACGUUGAAAAGUGCGGGGAUGAGGUGUGGGUAGGGGUGAAAUGCCAAUCGAACUUGGAGAUAGCUGGUUCUCCCCGAAAUAGCUUUAGGGCUAGCCUCGGGCUUGAGAGUGUUGGAGGUAGAGCACUGAUUUGGGCUAGGGGCCCAAACCGGGUUACCGAACCCAGUCAAACUCCGAAUGCCAACGACUUAUGCCCGGGAGUCAGACGGCGAGUGAUAAGAUCCGUGGUCGAGAGGGGAACAGCCCAGACCGCCAGCUAAGGCCCCCAAGUGCACGUUCAGUGGAAAAGGAUGUGGAGUUGCCAAGACAACCAGGAUGUUGGCUUAGAAGCAGCCACCAUUUAAAGAGUGCGUAAUAGCUCACUGGUCGAGUGACUCUGCGCCGAAAAUGUACCGGGGCUAAACGUGCCGCCGAAGCUGCGGGAUGACCGUUGGUCAUCGGUAGGGGAGCGUUCUAAGGGCAGAGAAGCCAGACCGGAAGGACUGGUGGAGCGCUUAGAAGUGAGAAUGCCGGUAUGAGUAGCGAAAACAGAGGUGAGAAUCCUCUGCGCCGAAAGCCUAAGGGUUCCUGAGGAAGGUUCGUCCGCUCAGGGUUAGUCGGGACCUAAGCCGAGGCCGAAAGGCGUAGGUGAUGGACAACAGGUUGAGAUUCCUGUACCACCUUCUUCCCGUUUGAGCGAUGGGGGGACGCAGGAGGAUAGGGCGAGCAGGCGGCUGGAAGAGCCUGUCCAAGCCGUGAGGCUGAUCCGCAGGCAAAUCCGCGGAUUGGAAGGCCGAGCGGUGACGGCGCGACGGAGUCAUCCGGAAGUCCCCGAUUUCACACUGCCAAGAAAAGCCUCUAGCGAGGGAAGAGGUGCCCGUACCGCAAACCGACACAGGUAGGCGAGGAGAGAAUCCUAAGGCGCGCGGGAGAACUCUCGUUAAGGAACUCGGCAAAAUGACCCCGUAACUUCGGGAGAAGGGGUGCUCUUUGGGGUGAAGAGCCCUGAAGAGCCGCAGUGAAAAGGCCCAAGCGACUGUUUUAUCAAAAACACAGGUCUCUGCGAAGCCGAAAGGCGACGUAUAGGGGCUGACACCUGCCCGGUGCUGGAAGGUUAAGGGGAGCGCUUAGCGGAAGCGAAGGUGCGAACCGAAGCCCCAGUAAACGGCGGCCGUAACUAUAACGGUCCUAAGGUAGCGAAAUUCCUUGUCGGGUAAGUUCCGACCCGCACGAAAGGUGUAACGACUUGGGCGCUGUCUCAACGAGAGACCCGGUGAAAUUAUACUACCUGUGAAGAUGCAGGUUACCCGCGACAGGACGGAAAGACCCCGUGGAGCUUUACUGCAGCCUGAUAUGGAAUUUUGGUAUCGCUUGUACAGGAUAGGUGGGGAGCCUGGGAAGCCGGAGCGCCAGCUUCGGUGGAGGCGGCGGUGGGAUACCACCCUGGCGGUAUUGAAAUUCUAACCCGCACCCCUUAGCGGGGUGGGAGACAGUGUCAGGCGGGCAGUUUGACUGGGGCGGUCGCCUCCCAAAAGGUAACGGAGGCGCCCAAAGGUUCCCUCAGAAUGGUUGGAAAUCAUUCGGAGAGUGCAAAGGCACAAGGGAGCUUGACUGCGAGACGGACAGGUCGAGCAGGGACGAAAGUCGGGCUUAGUGAUCCGGUGGUUCCGCAUGGAAGGGCCAUCGCUCAACGGAUAAAAGCUACCCCGGGGAUAACAGGCUGAUCUCCCCCAAGAGUCCACAUCGACGGGGAGGUUUGGCACCUCGAUGUCGGCUCAUCGCAUCCUGGGGCUGUAGUCGGUCCCAAGGGUUGGGCUGUUCGCCCAUUAAAGCGGUACGCGAGCUGGGUUCAGAACGUCGUGAGACAGUUCGGUCCCUAUCCGUCGCGGGCGGAGGAAAUUUGAGAGGAGCUGUCCUUAGUACGAGAGGACCGGGAUGGACGCACCGCUGGUGUACCAGUUGUCCCGCCAGGGGCACCGCUGGGUAGCUAUGUGCGGACGGGAUAAGCGCUGAAAGCAUCUAAGCGUGAAGCCCCCCUCAAGAUGAGAUUUCCCACCGCGUUAGGCGGGUAAGAUCCCUCGAAGAUGACGAGGUCGAUAGGUCCGAGGUGGAAGCGUGGCGACACGUGGAGCUGACGGAUACUAAUCGAUCGAGGGCUUAACCUAG